rnacentral:misc_RNA from 1 species
GAACAAAUUGUAGUGCGGAUGAUAUUUCGUGGUGUACGUAUAGAAAAGUACUAUGAUUCUUAUACUGAAUCAACAGUCUAUACAACUCGUGCUUCGGAGUAUGGGACACCUUUCGACAAGGAGAGUAAGAUUAUCUUUCCCGCACAUGUCGAUCCUAACAUCCUCGCAAUAAUCGGCCAGAAUCAAGAAGGACUUGAAAUACAGACAAAAGAGGGAGAAUGGAUCCCGGUUGUGCCUUCCCCGAACUCCUUCGCAGUCGUAAUUGGUGAAACAGUUCAGGCAUGGACCAAUGGAAGACUGCAAGCCCCCGUCCAUCGUGUCAAAUUUACUGGCAACGAGAAAAGAAACUCUGUGAUUUUCGCUUCUUUACCAAAGGAUGAUUGCAUCGUCCAAGCACCAAAAGAGCUGGUUGAUGAGGAGCAUUCACUGAUUUAUAAGCCUUACGUUUUCUUGGACUAUAAAAAAUUUCGUUACUCUGAGGAAGCAGUCAGAGACAACAGGACCCUGCCUGAUUUAUGCGGUAUAAGAGAAGAGGAGCAGCAACCAUAAGUAUGUCAGAUUCCCAGAAGUAAGUGCAUCUUGAGGAUGAGUGUUGCAUCUAGUUUGAAUGGAAGACAAUAAAAU